GUCUAUCUUUUCUGGCUCAGAAACUAAGCAGAGUCAGCCUUGAUUAGUAUUUGGAUGGGAGACCACCAGGAUAUAAUGUAUAUUAGACU
rnacentral:rRNA from 1 species